rnacentral:misc_RNA from 1 species
ACGAAACUGGUAGAUUCCAGCUCUGAUGACAUUGUUGCCAAAGUUCAGGAAAUUCUUGUUAGCUGCAAAGACAUGAAGUCAUGCUGUGAGGAUAUUAAUGGAAUGGAGAGACCAGAGUUGAGCGCGAAGUGGGUAGCUUUGCUGACAUUUGAGAAAGCUUGCCUAUCUAAGAUAUCAUUUGAAGGUAUUAUAGCUAUCAUACUUUCUGCUAUAAUUUUUCUAUUAGUACUAAACAUUGGUAAGAUUCAAUGUUGUUAAGCAUAGUUACUAAGGCUGCGCCUUAGGUUUAAGGCUCAACAGGCUCCAAC